UUCUGUACCCUUGCAGGCUGUGAUCUUAUUCUAUAGAAUCAGCUAAGCUGGGUUGGGCUUGGUUAGUAAUUGAGUGGGAGAUCUCCAGGGGAAAAUAAAGUACUACAGGAA
rnacentral:rRNA from 1 species